rnacentral:rRNA from 1 species
ACGCGCGGAACCUUACCAACCCUUGACAUGGCAGGACCGCUGGAGAGAUUCAGCUUUCUCGUAAGAGACCUGCACACAGGUGCUGCAUGGCUGUCGUCAGCUCGUGUCGUGAGAUGUUCGGUUAAGUCCGGCAACGAGCGCAACCCACGUCCCUAGUUGCCAGCAUUCAGUUGGGCACUCUAUGGAAACUGCCGAUGAUAAGUCGGAGGAAGGUGUGGAUGACGUCAAGUCCUCAUGGCCCUUACGGGUU